rnacentral:rRNA from 1 species
GCUGGCGGCAGGCCUAACACAUGCAAGUCGAGCGGUAGAGAGAAGCUUGCUUCUCUUGAGAGCGGCGGACGGGUGAGUAAAGCCUAGGAAUCUGCCUGGUAGUGGGGGAUAACGUUCGGAAACGGACGCUAAUACCGCAUACGUCCUACGGGAGAAAGCAGGGGACCUUCGGGCCUUGCGCUAUCAGAUGAGCCUAGGUCGGAUUAGCUAGUUGGUGAGGUAAUGGCUCACCAAGGCGACGAUCCGUAACUGGUCUGAGAGGAUGAUCAGUCACACUGGAACUGAGACACGGUCCAGACUCCUACGGGAGGCAGCAGUGGGGAAUACUGGACAAUGGGCGAAAGCCUGAUCCAGCCAUGCCGCGUGUGUGAAGAAGGUCUUCGGAUUGUAAAGCACUUUAAGUUGGGAGGAAGGGCAUUAACCUAAUACGUUAGUGUUUUGACGUUACCGACAGAAUAAGCACCGGCUAACUCUGUGCCAGCAGCCGCGGUAAUACAGAGGGUGCAAGCGUUAAUCGGAAUUACUGGGCGUAAAGCGCGCGUAGGUGGUUUGUUAAGUUGGAUGUGAAAUCCCCGGGCUCAACCUGGGAACUGCAUUCAAAACUGACUGACUAGAGUGUGUAGAGGGUGGUGGAAUUUCCUGUGUAGCGGUGAAAUGCGUAGAUAUAGGAAGGAACACCAGUGGCGAAGGCGACCACCUGGACCAACACUGACACUGAGUGCGAAAGCGUGGGGAGCAAACAGGAUUAGAUACCCUGGUAGUCCACGCCGUAAACGAUGUCACUAGCCGU